rnacentral:rRNA from 1 species
CACGUAGGGGGCGAGCGUUGUCCGGAUUCAUUGGGCGUAAAGCGCGCGCAGGCGGCUCGGAAAGUCGGGUGUGAAGACCUGGGGCUCAACCCCGGGCGUGCAUCCGAUACUGCCGGGCUUGAGGCAGGUAGGGGAGAUCGGAAUUCCUGGUGUAGCGGUGAAAUGCGCAGAUAUCAGGAGGAACACCGGUGGCGAAGGCGGAUCUCUGGGCCUGUCCUGACGCUGAGGCGCGAAAGCUAGGGGAGCGAACAGG